rnacentral:rRNA from 1 species
UACGUAGGUGGCAAGCGUUGUCCGGAUUUAUUGGGUUUAAAGGGUGCGUAGGCGGCUUUGUAAGUCAGUGGUGAAAUAUGGCAGCUCAACUGUCAAGGUGCCAUUGAUACUGCGGAGCUUGAGUACAGAUGAGGUAGGCGGAAUUGACGGUGUAGCGGUGAAAUGCCUAGAUAUCGUCAAGAACACCUAUAGCGAAGGCAGCUUACUAGGCUGUAACUGACGCUGAGGCACGAAAGUGUGGGGAUCAAACAGG